rnacentral:lncRNA from 1 species
CGGAGAGGUGGUUGUCUCAGGUGGUUACGCGUCUGCCUUUAACUUCUGCACCUAAAGAUUCCUGGUAUGAGAUUCUGCUCCUGGCAGCCUAGUCCCCACCCCCUUCUGUCCCACAGACACUCUGGGGGCCUGUGGAACAGGAGUCCAGGACUUGGCUCUACACUCCCUGUCAGCAUUAUGGUGUAGUCAUUUGGGUGAAGACAUGCUUCGUUCUGAGUGUCUUUCCCAUGGCUGGGAUUGGUACUUGAGGCUUCUUUCCAGCUGCCAAGGACCACCUUAGACUUUGAGGACCAAGGAAAAGUUCUCUCAUGCCCACCAUCACAACUCCAGACCAUAGGGUUUGUACAGGUUCUAUUUCAUCAUCUACCCAACUCCAGAAACCAAAG